rnacentral:lncRNA from 1 species
CCUUGUGAAGGAAACGUACUCUUACUCCUUCUGCAGAUGUGGAGACAGAGGCAGAAAAAAAAGCCAUGCCCAAAGUGACACAGGUUUGAACUGAAACAUUAGUUCUUCCUGGGUCUCAAGCCUGUGGGCCUCCAGACUGGAAGUACACCGUUGGCUCUCCUGGGUCUCCAGCUUGCCAAUUUACCCUGCGGAUCUUGGGAUUUGCCAGCUGCCAUAAUUUUGACACAGUGAGAAGGCAGCCAUCUGUAAGCCAGGAAGAGAGCUGUCACCAGGGACUGAAUCCAGCGCAUUGAUUUUGGACUUCUAACCUUCAGAACUGUGAGAAAUAAAUGUCAUUUAAGCCAUCAGUCUAUGGUACUUUGUUAUAGCAGCCUGAGCUGAUUAAGACACAGGGUUUUAUGAGCUUGAUCUUGAAGGCUCGUUUUGACUCUACAAUUCUAACAUUCUUUUCCAAAGUCCCCUCUGUUAUUGGCUGUGUUCAUUUCUGCCACUCUGCUGUCACUCAAGCCAUUCCUCCUCACUGCUAUGUUUUCUGCAACUCCUCACCAUUAAUCAAGAUCUUCUGCGAACUUAGAGGUUGAGCACACAUUUCAGCUCACAGGUGUGAAGAAAAAGCAGGGUCAAAUCCAAAUAUUUCUCUUUACUUUCAUGCGACCUUGAACAGUUACUUAACUUCUCUAUGCCUCCAUCUGCAAAGUGGAGUUAAUAAUACUUACAGGAUAAGAGUUGUGAUGAUUAAAUGGAAUUAAACAUGUAAAGCACCCACAUAGACCGGAGUUUGGCCCAUUUUUCUGCAAAAGAUCAGAUAGUAAAUAAUUUAGGCUUGCAGGGCAUGUGGUCUCUCAGCUUUGGCUUUGUAGGGCAAAAAGGACCACAGACAAUAUGCAAACAAAUGAGUGUGGCUGUGUUCCAAUAAAACUUUAUUUAUAAAAACAGGUGGCAGGCUGGAUUUGCACCCCGCCACCUGCAGCACUGGGCUUUGCUAUUCCAGGUAGCAGAUUAGGAUUCUCAUUGCUUUUUUAAAUUUAAACACACUUUAAGCUGUUUUAUGUUAUCCUUGGCUCUCC